rnacentral:rRNA from 1 species
UACGUAGGGUGCAAGCGUUAUCCGGAAUUAUUGGGCGUAAAGAGCUCGUAGGCGGUUUGUCGCGUCUGCUGUGAAAACUGGAGGCUCAACCUCCAGCCUGCAGUGGGUACGGGCAGACUAGAGUGUGGUAGGGGAGACUGGAAUUCCUGGUGUAGCGGUGAAAUGCGCAGAUAUCAGGAGGAACACCGAUGGCGAAGGCAGGUCUCUGGGCCAC